ACACAACUUCAUACAAAACACGGGCCUACUGGACCAGUGGAGACUCCAACACCCGGGAGAACAGGACUACAUGUUUUUUUCAGCAGCACAUAAAACCUACUCAUGCAUAGAUCUCUUCCUUACCAACAAAAUAGGCAUGCAAUGGAUCAGAACCUCGGUGAUUAACCCGAUAUCAUGGUCAGACCACGCAGACAUUGCGCUCACCUUAAAAACCCAGUAACUAUGCACCAUGGAAAU